CAAACCCUUUUGUUUCCGUGCAAGUUGCUUCUCUCUUCUAGAACUAAAAUUUUAUUUCUUUUUUCUUUUUAUUGGAAUUUAGUAUUUUUUUAUUUGAUAUUUUAGUUGUUUUUACGGUAUACCCUCAAUGAUCCAAAUUUUGUUGCGAUAUCAAACACCUUAACUUUUUGUGUUUUGCGGAUCUUAUUAAUGAUACAUAAAUAUUGUUGCAAAAUUAAACGCCACAACUGUUUUUUUUUUUCUGCUGGGCUUAUUGAUGCAUAAAACGAUUGUUGCUUCACCCAUUUUCUAAAGGUUUGUUCAAUUUUAUUAUUUACCUUGCUCGUAUGAUUGUUUCUUAUUUUCUCUUUUAAUAUGUUUUGUUAUUGGUUACUAAUUAACUUUAUGAAUUUUUAAUGGUGAUUACGUAAAUCGGCUUUCCUACGUGCAUAUAUCUGUUUUUUGAUUUAAUUUUUGUUGUAUUCAAUUGGCAUUGAUGAUGGUUGCGGCAAUGUGAUUGCAUGAGCGCUGAUAUGAAGAAAUUCUUAAAAAGAUGAUUUCACUUCUACAAAGGAUGAUGCCAAGAUAUCUUCGAUUUCAUGUUGCUUUUUUUUUGUGCUAGAGUUUUGCGGUUUUCUUCCCCUAUAUUAAUCAGGAAUGUUUUUCACUGUUUGUAAAUCUCUGAUAUCUAUUUGUUUCAAGUUUUCUCCUAGCCCUAAUUUUUCAUAUUAGUUUUUUAUCUGAUUUUCAUUAGUAUAUUGAAACGCUUCAUUGAUCUAUUUUGCAGGAAACUGUUCUCAAUUAUGUUGUUAUGUCUUUUUGGUUUCAUAUCUUCUCAAUACCAGGUGAGGGUUUCUCAACAUCAACAGGUUUAGGUAAUGUAGGUACUACUCUGUCCUUUAAGCUUCAUGUGAAUGUAUUAUUUGAGUGAUUGAUUCGUGAAAUACAAAAUUCAUACUAAUGAUGCUCAAUCAUUGUAAUAUAACAUCACGGGAAAGAAAAAAUCCCAACAUUGAUAUUCAGAAUUUAGAGUUAUAUGUAAUGCAAAAGUGAAGUUGAAAAAUAUGGAUUAUAAAAAUGGUAUCUAAAUUAAGGAAGUUUGAAAUUGAUAAUUAUAGUUAUAUUGUAUCUAAAUUCUUAUGGCCAUACUUUUUGUAAACAAAAAUCAUAUAUUUUGUCUAUAUUUUGGAUUGAUUUUCUUUUUCUUUCGGUAGCUUAUUUAACCAUGAAUAUACACGCAUUUUGAAGUGCGACAUUUUUUAUGUUGUCGAACAAGAUGUAAUCUUUCUCAUCAAUUCAUUUUGUUAGGCUCCGAUGAAGGAAAGAAACUCGGGUCUAAAUUCAUGUUUGAGUUGAAAGGGAAGUGUUAUACUUUGUGUGGAUUGUUAAGGUUUUAUUUGUAUCCUUUUUAUAGGUAUUGACAUUUUUCUAUUUAUAUUAUUCGUUUACUGUUUUUGCUUUAUUUUGGCUUUUGUUAUUGAAUUUAGUGGCUUUUAUUGUGUAGAAAAACCCAUUUCCCUGAGAAGGCCGAUAGGACAUAUUAAAAUUGACGAACAUCUGUAGACAACAAGAGAGCUCACUCGUUGAACUUUCAUUUUUUUGUUGGUAUUCCACACCAAAAAAAAAAUCCACUUUCCAAAAUAAGUUUAACCAUCCACAUAUUUUGUGUAUAAAAAUUCAAAAUGAGGUCCAUAUAGGAUUUUUCUAGAUAUUCAAUUAAUGCAUGCUAAUUAAUUUCUCAAAGAAAAUGUACUAAUUUUAAUUUAUGUAAUCUGAUGGCCUUCAUAUUUACUUUUAUUUCUUUUGCUUUGCAGCAGUUUAGGUCUUAUCACAAGAUUUCGUUUUCGCGCGCUAAACAAGUGAAAGGUGCAUAUGUAAUUACAAAAAUCGCAUUGUGAUUUAACACUAGAUUAAUUUUCUAAAGUAAGGACGAUUACAACUUGCUUGAUCAUUAAUUAAAGGAUCUAUGUUGUUUGCAAUUUUGAAGCUCUACACUA